AAGUGGAGCAAUCCAUGAGUAAAGUGGCGACCGGGUGAGUAACACGUGACUAACCUACCUUCGAGUGGGGAAUAACCUAGGGAAACCUGGGCUAAUACCGCAUAACGUCUUCGGACCAAAGGAGCAAUUCGCUUGAAGAGGGGGUCGCGGCCGAUUAGCUAGUUGGUGGGGUAACGGCCCACCAAGGCAAUGAUCGGUAGCCGGCCUGAGAGGGCGCACGGCCACACUGGAACUGAAACACGGUCCAGACUCCUACGGGAGGCAGCAGUGGGGAAUUUUGCGCAAUGGGGGAAACCCUGACGCAGCAACGCCGCGUGGAGGAUGAAGCCCCUUGGG
rnacentral:rRNA from 1 species